AAUCCACCUGGGGAGUACGUUCGCAAGAAUGAAACUCAAAGGAAUUGACGGGGGCCCGCACAAGCGGAGGAACAUGUGGUUUAAUUCGAUGAUACGCGAGGAACCUUACCUGGACUUAAAUGUAUAUUGACCGGUUUAGAAAUAGAUCUUUCCUUCGGGACAAUUUACAAGGUGCUGCAUGGUUGUCGUCAGCUCGUGCCGUGAGGUGUCGGGUUAAGUCCCAUAACGAGCGCAACCCCUAUCGUUAGCUGCUAGCAGGUAAUGCUGAGGACUCUAGCGAGACUGCCACCGUAAGGUGAGAGGAAGGUGGGGAUGACGUCAAAUCAGCACGGCCCUUACGUCCAGAGCUACAUACGUGUUACAAUGGCCAGUACAAAGGGCAGCUACCAGGCGACUGGAUGCUAAUCUCAAAAGCUGGUCUCAGUUCGGAUCGGAGUCUGCAACUCGACUCCGUGAGGUUGGAUUCGCUAGUAAUCGUAGAUCAGCAACGCUACGGUGAAUACGUUCCCGGGCCUUGUACACACCGCCCGUCAAGCCAUGGAAGCCGAGGGGACCUGAAGUUCGUAACCGCAAGGAGCGACCUAGGGUAAAAUUGGUAACUAGGGCUAAGUCGUAACAAGGUAGCCG
rnacentral:rRNA from 1 species